rnacentral:rRNA from 1 species
GCAGCGACGCCGCGUGAGGGACGAAGGCCUUCGGGUUGUAAACCUCUUUCAGCAGGGAAGAAGCGAAAGUGACGGUACCUGCAGAAGAAGCGCCGGCUAACUACGUGCCAGCAGCCGCGGUAAUACGUAGGGCGCAAGCGUUAUCCGGAAUUAUUGGGCGUAAAGAGCUCGUAGGCGGUUUGUCGCGUCUGCUGUGAAAGCCCGGGGCUCAACCCCGGGUCUGCAGUGGGUACGGGCAGACUAGAGUGCAGUAGGGGAGACUGGAAUUCCUGGUGUAGCGGUGAAAUGCGCAGAUAUCAGGAGGAACACCGAUGGCGAAGGCAGGUCUCUGGGCUGUAACUGACGCUGAGGAGCGAAAGCAUGGGGAGCGAACAGGAUUAGAUACCCUGGUAGUCCAUGCCGUAAACGUUGGGCACUAGGUGUGGGGGACAUUCCACGUUUUCCGCGCCGUAGCUAACGCAUUAAGUGCCCCGCCUGGG